GCUAUAAAUACCGAUGCCUUCCGUCGCUGGGGUCCUUUCGGGAGAGACUCUCGUCCUGCGUUCCUGUUUCCAGGUCAGUGGGACCAACUCCCUGCUUCGUGGGCGUUUCAUCUGCUAUGGGAUCCGCAUUUCGUUUGGGAUUCCGAAUACAACUGGAUUUGAGGAGAGAAGAGGAGCCUUACCAGCUUUGCAGUUAGCAAUGCUUUGGAGUCUUUCUUUGACAGGGAAAUUAGUAAAGUAAAAAUUCUCCAGGCAAAACUACUGGAGUGGAACCCAUUUCUUUAUCCAUGGGAAUCUUCUUGACCCAGGGAUUGAACCUAGAUCCUACUGCAUUGCAGGUUUCCUAUCUGGUGAAAACUUGAUGUUACGACACUAAGAUAUUGACCUCUUUAUUGGUCUUAAAACUGGAAAGUAGGUGCCCAUGAGAAUCUGCAUGUCUUAAAGAAAUCCAUCAAUUUCUAAUGGAAUUGUGAACUUAAAUAAAGAUGACU
ensembl:lncRNA